rnacentral:rRNA from 1 species
AUGGGGUGCUUGCAACCUGAUGGCGAGUGGCGAACGGGUGAGUAAUACAUCGGAACGUACCAAGUAAUGGGGGAUAACUACUCGAAAGAGUGGCUAAUACCGCAUACGCCCUAAGGGGGAAAGCAGGGGAUCUUCGGACCUUGCGUUAUUUGAGCGGCCGAUGUCUGAUUAGCUAGUUGGUGGGGUAAGAGCCUACCAAGGCGACGAUCAGUAGCGGGUCUGAGAGGAUGAUCCGCCACACUGGGACUGAGACACGGCCCAGACUCCUACGGGAGGCAGCAGUGGGGAAUUUUGGACAAUGGGCGAAAGCCUGAUCCAGCCAUGCCGCGUGUAUGAAGAAGGCCUUCGGGUUGUAAAGUACUUUUGUUAGGGAAGAAAAGCUUGUUGUUUUUAUAAGGAGCAAGCCAUGACGGUACCUAAAGAAUAAGCACCGGCGUAAUGCGUGCCAGCAGCCGCGGUAAU